rnacentral:rRNA from 1 species
UACGUAGGGUGCGAGCGUUGUCCGGAAUUAUUGGGCGUAAAGGGCUCGUAGGCGGUCUGUCACGUCGGGAGUGAAAACACGGGGCUUAACCCCGUGCCUGCUUCCGAUACGGGCAGACUAGAGGUAUGCAGGGGAGAACGGAAUUCCUGGUGUAGCGGUGAAAUGCGCAGAUAUCAGGAGGAACCCCGGUGGCGAAGGCGGGUCUCUGGGCCUUUCCCGACGCUGAGGGGCGAAAGCGUGGGGAGCGAACAGG